rnacentral:rRNA from 1 species
CCCGCCGGCGACCGGCGCACGGGUGAGUAACACGUAUGAAACCUGCCCGUAGCAGGGGGAUAAGCGGAAGAAAUUCCGUCUAAUACCGCGUAACAACCCAUGGAGGCAUCUCUGUGGGUUUAAAGGAAGCGAUUCCGGCUACGGAUGGUCAUGCGUCGCAUUAGCUUGUUGGCGGGGUAACGGCCCACCAAGGCGACGAUGCGUAGGGGUUCUGAGAGGAAAGUCCCCCACACUGGUACUGAGACACGGACCAGACUCCUACGGGAGGCAGCAG